rnacentral:lncRNA from 1 species
CACAACAUCGUCGUGGUCAUGAAAAAGAAGAGAUAACAAACUCCUUUUGGAAGUGGAGGAAGAAUUUAGGGGGAGAAAAUUCAGGAAUAACGUAAAAUGCUCCAGAAGAUCUGAGAAACAUUAAACGUGAACAUAAACAUGAUCCCAUCUCCCCUCUGAAAACGUCCCAAGAAAUAUCUACGACAUACAAGAAAGGAUGCCAUUUGUAAAGAUGUGAAAUACGUUGAUAUUCCUUUACAGAGAGAAGCUUUGUUCGCAUAAUAACAUUUUCUACUGCCUCUGAGGCUCGUAGGAG